GGACGGAGUAUUGAGGUUCAUGGUUUUGGCGCCCAUACCGGACGGGGUAUGGGGACGGCCCUAGAAUCAGGUUGUAAAUAUUAAUGGUUCACGUGUAGAGGGGACCCCCUAUGGAUCCCCAGGGAUACUAGUAGGCUGGUAAAAGAGGAAAUCUGUUUCCUAAUGAUUGAAAUGUAAAGGUGUGAUAUAUGUUAUGUUAUAAAGUGUGUAUGAUUUCAUGAUAUUAUAAGGUUAUUGUUUUCAUAUGUUGUUUUCAUGGAUCUCGCCGAGGUAAGUGGAUAGAAAAAGAUUUUAUUACUGAUAAAUGAAUUUGUUAUAAAUGAUGCUCCAUUGGUCAUUUUUGUUUUCUACCCACAUUUACUUCCGUGGCGGUGAGAUAGUGUGAUGUCUUUACUGGGCUGGUGUAGCUCAUUCCUUAUUUAACCAUUUUAGAUCAGGAAGACGUUGUUCCUGAGCCUGUUCCACAGGAAGACGGCGAAAGGGACGUCUAAAGACUUUAUAGUUAUAUUUAUAGUUUUUAUUUCGAGUAUCUCUCUUAGUUAGUCUGUUCCUUCAUGUUUUGAGUACGUUUUGGUUAUUGUGUAAGGGAUGUUAAUCAAAAUUUUUAUUACGCUUCCAUAUUUGACAUUUUUAAUACAUAUAUUUCAUUUAAAUUUCUGAGGCUGUUACAGUUGGUAUCAGAGCCGCGUUCCUCCGACCCUUCCCUUACACAAUAAUGCUUAGAGAAAUAUUCACUGAUAAACCGUUACUCAACCAUUCCUUAUGAAAUGCAGGUGCAGAGAGAUGAGGAGAGGAAGACCCCCACUAAACCAAGCGGCCCGGGAUAAUUCACUUCGGGAGGAUGUAGACAGGUUAUUUGAGAUGAUGGAAGGAUUCAUAGCUGCCCAGCAAGGGCGAGGGGAGAGAUGGGAGUUACUCGACCCUCCUCCACUACCACAGGUUGAGCCUCCGCUACAGCAGGCUGAUCCUGAGCUACCCCGGCACGAGCCUGUUCCUCCACAGUACCACCCGGCACCACUGCCGCAGUACACCCGGUGCCCCAGCCACGGUACUACCCGGCACUGCCACAGCAUGACCCAGUGCCCCCAGCAUAUCAGCAGGUGCCACCACAGGACCCCCCAAUCUAUCCCCAGCCGGGUCCAGUCCCUCCUCCACGGGAUCCCGCUCCUUCCUUGAUCGACCCGGGCUACAUAGAGAGGUACAGGAGACUAAACCCUUCCACCUUUGCAGGAGGAUCCUUUUUUGAAGAUGCCCAGUACUAGCUGGCGGAGACUGAGAGAGCUUUCAGGAUCUUGGGAGUAGUUCCUGAGCAGAGAGCUGCCCUUGCUUCCUUCAUGCUGCUACGGGAAGCAGGACGUUGGUGGGAGCUCAAGCAGACCACCCUGCCUACACCAGUUACUUGGGAGUAGUUCCUAGCGGCCUUCCAUGCGGAGUAUCUCCCUGAGCACCUCCGACACCUAAAGAAAACGGAGUUUGUUCAACUGGUUCAGGGAAACAUGACAGUAUCAGAGUAUGCUCGUAAGUUCCUCGAGCUGGGCCGAUACUCCCCAGAGACAUUGAUGGAUGAGGGCCGAAAGGCCAGGAGAUUCCAGUCGGGUCUCCACCUAGAGAUCAGGCAACACUUGUUAGUACUGGAGCUCAAGACAUAUUCAGCAGUCCUAGCAAAGGGGGCCAAUACUCCCCGGAGACAUUGAUGGAUGAGGGCCGAAAGGCCAGGAGAUUCCAGUCGGGUCUCUGCCUAGAGAUCAGGCAACACUUGUUAGUACUGGAGCUCAAGACAUAUUCAGCAGUCCUAGCAAAGGCACAGAUUGUGGAAAGAAGCUUCAGCACCUGUCCUCAGCUAGGAGGGAGUUCCCGACCCUCAGCUCCGUUCCGCAGGCCUGCACCUACUACGCCUGCCCAACCAAAUAAGAGGCCCAGACCAGCCAUCCAGGCCCCUCCCUCCUCAGGCUCCAGGGGCAACACGUGAAAAAAUCUAUCAACACUGCGGCAGAGAUCAAGGGGACCGACCCUGCUACCGCCUCAACAACACUUGUCGCAUUUGUGGCAGUGCCCAGCAUUAUGCCAGAGAAUGCCCGAGGAACCAGAAUCAAGAGAGGCCUCCUAUCCAGGGUAGAGCUUACAACCUUACCCAGCAGGAUGCCGACGCCGACCCAGAUGUGGUACAGGGUAUGUAUACUAUCUGUGACCAUAUUGCUCAUGUUUUAUUUGACACUGGUGCAUUGCACUCUUUUGUUUCACAUGCUUAUGCUUCUAAAAUUAAUGUAUCACCUAAUAAACUUGAAUCAUUGUUGUUUGUGUCUACUGUCGGGGGUGAAACACUACUAGGGGAAGCUAUCUAUAGGGCUUGUGCCGUAGAGAUAGCAAAUAGAAAACUGAGGGUAGACUUGAUAGGGUUAGACACGGGAGAUUUUGAUGUAAUAUUAGGAAUGGAUUGGCUAGCGGCGUAUCACGCCACCAUAGAUUGCUUUAACAAGAAAGUUGUAUUUAAUCUUCCUAACGAGGAGCUAUUUACAAAUUAAUAAAAUUAUUCAAUACGUAUUCCUUGAUGGCAAGUUUUCUUAACUUCUAGUGCCUUAAUCUUGUUGUUUUCUCUGACUAAGCAAGUCCAAGAAGAAAAUUUGUAUUCAAGAGAUUUCGGUAGUCCGAGACUUCCCAAAUAUGUUUCCGGACGAACUGCUCGGUCUGCCAGUGGACAGAGAAGUCGAGUUCACUAUAGACCUACAGCCAGGCACCUAGCCCAUUUUGGUUGCUCCUUAUCGCAUGAGCCGCAUUGAGAUGGAAGAGCUGAGGAAACAGAUAACUGAAUUGCAAGACAGUGGUUUUAUUAGACAUAGUGUGUCCCCUUGGGGUGCUGGAGUCACUUUUGCAAGGAAAUGAGAUGGAACGUUGAGACUGUGCAUUGAUUACAGAGGAUUAAACAAGGUCACGAUCAAAAACAAGUAUCCCCUUCCCCGGAUUGAUGACCUCUUUGAUCAGCUGCAGGGUGCACAAAUCUUCUCUAAAAUAGACCUACGAUCAGGUUACCAUUAGGUGAAGAUAAGAACAGAAGACAUCCCCAAGACGGCCUUCCGAACUAGGUACGGACACUAUGAGUUCCUGGUCAUGCCUUUCGGGCUAACAAAUGCCUCGGCAAUCUUUAUGGAUCUGAUGAACAGGGUCUUUAGAGAGUUCUUGGAUCAAUUUCUCAUCGUGUUCAUUGAUGAUAUCUUAGUCUACUCAAAAAGCAGAGAAGAACAUGCUCACCAUCUGGCCCAAGUUUUGCAGGUCCUCAGAAACAAGAGGUUAUAUGCGAAGUUGAGUAAGUGUGGAUUCUGGCUUGAGUAGACCGCCUUCUUAGGACACAUCAUAUCGAAGGAAGGGGUAUCAGUGAAUCCUGAAAAGGUUGAAGCGGUACUUGGCUGGGAGAAGCUGACAUCAGUUAAGGAAAUCCGUAGCUUCCUGGGAAUGGCAGGUUAUUACCGUAGGUUCGUUGAAGGAUUCUCUAGUCUAACAGCUCCUCUAACCUGACUCACAAAGAAGAAUGCCAAAUUUGAGUGGAAUGAAGACUGCGAAAGAAGUUUUUCAGAACUAAAGAAGCGGCUGACCACUAUACCCGUGCUGGCUUUACCGAGUGGAUCGGGAGGAUAUACAGUUUAUAGUGAUGCCUCCUAUCUGGGCCUGGGUUGUGUCCUGAUGCAGUAUGGAAAGGUUAGCAUACGGAUCCAGACAGUUAAAGAAUCAUGAGAAGAAUUAUCACACCCAUGACUUGGAGCUUGCCGCAAUCAUUCAUGCCUUGAAAACCUGGCGCCAUUAUUUGUACGGAGAGACCUUUCAGAUCUAUAUCGAUCAUAAGAGUUUGAAACACAUAUUCACUCAGAAGGAUCUCAACAUGCGUUAGAGAAGGUGGAUGGAACUCUUUAAGGACUAUGAUUGUGACAUCUUAUACCAUCCGGGUAAGGGCAACAUGGUAGCAGAUGCCCUCAGUAGGAAAAGUGCAGGUAUCUUAGCCCAUUUGAUCUUUCAGAAUGCAGACCAAUUGGGGCCACGCAACAGGUUCGACUUCAUGAUCUGAAGAGAGUCACAUGUUUGGGCCGCCUGACAGUCCAGCCCGAGUUAAUCCAGAGAAUAAGGGAAGCCCAGACAGUUGACCCCGCCCUGGUAGCCCGCAGGAAGGAUGCAGAACAGGGAGGGAGCUCAGAAUUCCGAAUCUCUACCGAUGGAUUACUUCGUUUCCAAGACAGGGUGUGUGUCCCAAAUGACAGUGAGUUAAAAAGGGACAUCAUGAUGGAGUCCCAUAGCUUGAAGUUUGCCAUGCAUCCAGGAAGCACCAAAAUGUACCAAAGCAUGCGACCCCGGUUUUGGUGGCAUGGGAUGUAGAGAGACAUAGCCGACUUUGUAUCUAAAUGCUUGGUAUGUCAGCAGGUCAAGGUAGAGCAUCAGCGCCCAGGUGGGUUACUUCAGCCUUUACCGAUCCUGGAGUGAAAGUGGGAACAUAUCACCAUGGACUUCGUAUCGGGGCUACCCAAGGCACGUUCAGGACAUGAUGCCAUAUGGGUAAUCGUUGACCGGCUUACCAAGUCUUCCCACUUCCUAGCCAUCAGGAUGACCGAUUCAUUGGACAAGUUGGCAAGGAUGUAUAUCCGGGAGAUAGUCAGAUUGCAUGGAGUUUCAGUGACAUAGUGUCUGACAGGGAUCCCAGGUUCACUUCUCGGUUUUGGAGUAGCUUCUAGCAAGCUAUGGGAACAAAGCUGUCUCUUAGUACUGCCUUCCAUCCCCAUACUGAUGGACAAUCAGAAAGGACAAUUCGUACGCUUGAGGAUAUGCUCCGAGCUUGUGUCCUUGACUCCGGGGGCCAUUGGGAUGACCAUCUGCCCCUGAUAGAGUUUGCCUACAACAACAGCUACCAAGCAAGCAUUGGCAUGGCUCCAUAUGAGGCGUUAUAUGGGUGCCCGUGCAGAUUGCCGAUUUGCUGGGAAGAAGUGGGAGAUAGAAGAUUGUUCGGCCUGGAGUUGGUAGAGGAGACCACGUCCAAGAUAGUUAAAAUCAAGAAGAACAUUUAGACAGCUCAGAGUAGGCAGAAGAGUUAUGCAGAUACCCGGAGGAGAGACCUAGCGUUUGAGAAAGGCGACCGGGUGUUUCUUAAGGUCACUCCUUUCAAGGGAAUUAGUAAGUUCGGCAGGAGGAGAAAAUUAAACCCCCGAUAUAUUGGACCCUUUAAAAUCUUAGACAGGAUUGGUACUGUUGCCUGUAGACUAGCAUUGCCUCCAGAGCUCUCCAGAGUCCACAACGUGUUCCACGUAUCCAUGCAACGUAAGUACAACAUGGACCCUUCUCAUGUCUUGGCUUAUGAACCGCUUCUACUCCAAGAGAACUUGUCUUAUGAAAAAGUACCAGUCGGUAUCACGGACUGAAAGAACAGAAUACUCCGCAAACGGGAAAUAUCAUUUGUAAAGGUCAUGUGGCAAAACCACACGCCCAGGGAGGCUACUUGGGAGCUAGAAUCAGAAUUUAGAGCCCAGUAUCUCCAUUUGUUCGACCAAGAGUAAAAGGCAAAUUUGGGGGACCAAAUUUCUUUAAGGGGGGGAGAGUUGUAACACCCCAAGUGUUAUUAUUAUUAUUUUUUAUUUUAUUUUGUAAUUAAUUGAUUUUUUUUUUAUUUUUAAUUAAUUUAAUUUGAUUUAAUUUAAUCUAAUUUCAUGAAAAUAAAAAUAAUAAUAAUGAUAAAAUUAGGUAAAAAUAUUAUUUAGAUUUAAUUGAAAUUGAUUUUGGGAAAAAGGGGUGAAAAUUUGGAUUCUAGGGGUGUUUUUGAAAAGAAAAUCAGAAACCAAUGGUCAAAACGCAAUUUAGAAAAGUUGUGCCACGUCAGCAGCCACAUCGGCGGCCCGGUCAGCAGCCCUGGCCAACCAGGAUGCGCCGCGUGGCAAGGAAACACUGACCAGGGGACGGGCCACGUGGGCGAUCCGCGUGCGCGCGAUCGGACGGCCCAGAUCCUUUCCCGCGCGCACGGACGGCACAGAUCAAACGUGCGCACGGACGGCCCAAAUUCACGCGCUCGGACGGCCCAGAUUCAAUCAGGCACGGACGGCCUAGAUUGCAUCACGAUAGACGGCCCAGAUUUAAUCCCAAUUAAAUCACGAUCGAACGGUCCAGAUUUAAUCUUGAUGGAUGGUUGAGAUUAAAAGGCAAAGGGUAUAAAUAACCCCACCCACACCUGACCACAAAAACCCUAGCCGCCAGUGCCUCGCCGGAGAAGAAGAACCAGAUGCCGGAGGAGCCGACCGCCGCCACCCGCUGCCGCAUCGGGGAAGUUUUCGACCGCCGAUCGAGGUUAAUUUUCUCCCCCUUGCUCGUUUUUCGAUGUUGAGUCCCUCUAUGGCCAAACCACUGGCCAAACGGCCGAAAAACCCAACCGAAGCCCAGCGGCGCCGCCGCGCCCCUCCUCGGUUUUUGCCUCCGAUGAGGCCCUUCCCGGCCUCCGUUCGAUGCAAAUUUUAUACCACUGUGAUCACCGUUCUUUUCUCUACAGGUUGAUCGGAGCCAAACAUCAAAAUGCGACUCACGCCGGAGGAGCCCCCCGCACCCAAGAGCACCGCCGCCUGUAAGUUUUGGUUUUUUGUGAUUUUUUGGCCCACCGAGGGCCCUAGGGUUGUUUUAUCGCAGAGACCGAUGCGAAUGUGGCCAAAUUCGACCAAAAACGGCCAACCUGAGGUGAAUCACCGCCGCGAGCGACGGUGCCUUCACCGGAGCAUGGCGGAGCUGCUGUGCCGAAAUUGCGAUAUUGGCCAAAAGGGGCCCUAGGUCUGAUUUUGGAUUUUUUGGGACACGUGCAGGUACCGGUAGUGCGUUUCAGUUUCUCGGGAAAAAUUCAGGGAAAUUAGGGACAAACUGUAGGCGCACUGUAGAGCCGAAUUCAUACCCCGAAACGAGUAAGGACCCCUCACCCUAUUUCCUAUCACGGUAUUAAAGCUACAUAAAAAAUUAAACUGUACUGUGUGACUUUAUAGAUGUAUAAUUGAUUAAGGUUGCCAGUGGAACCCGAAUCUGAUACAGUGUUUUCUGUUAUUGUUUGAUCUAAUUUUCAGUAUUAAAUGCAGCAUAAUGUUUGAUGUAAUUAUGUUAUGGUCUCGUAUGCAUGAAUCAUGAUUUCUUUUAUUAUGGUGAACCCGAUACUGUGUUGUCUUGUUUGGUGUCCAUUACUGGUUUACAUGUUGUGUGUGAUUAGAUUAUUGAAACAAAGAAAAAAGACAAAAAGAUUAUGUGAAUUAAUAAGUGGAUAAUGUGGACAACCUGACUAGAUAUCCUGGGAGAUGGUGGACGGACCGGAUCCGUAAGGAACCCUAUCGGGAACGUGGUCUCUCAUACCGGACGAGGUAUGGAGACCUUAUGUGUUUUGGCGCCCAUACCAGACGGGGUAUGGGGACGGCCCUGGAAUCAGGUUGUAAAUGUUAAUGGUUCACGUGUAGAAGGGACCCCUUAUGGAUCCCCAGGGAUACUAGUAGGCUGGUAAAAGAGGAAAUAUAUUUCCUGAUGAUUAAAAUAUAAAGGUGUGAUAUAUGUUAUGUUAUAAAGUGUGUAUGAUUUCAUGAUAUUAUAAGGUUAUUAUUUUCAUAUGUUGUUUUCAUGGAUCUCGCCGAGGUAAGUGGACA
rnacentral:lncRNA from 1 species